rnacentral:rRNA from 1 species
GGGUUGUGAGGUUAAGCGAACAAGCGUACACGGUGGAUGCCCUGGCAGUCAGAGGCGAUGAAGGACGUGCUAAUCUGCGAAAAGCGCCGGUAAGGUGAUAUGAACCGUUAUAACCGGCGAUGUCCGAAUGGGGAAACCCGGUGCACUUCGGUGCAUCAUCGUUAGCUGAAUACAUAGGCUAACGAGGCGAACCGGGGGAACUGAAACAUCUAAGUACCCCGAGGAAAAGAAAUCAACCGAGAUUCCCCCAGUAGCGGCGAGCGAACGGGGAACAGCCCAGAGCCUGAAUCAGCUUGUGUGUCAGUGGAACGGUCUGGAAAGGCCGGCGAUACAGGGUGACAGCCCCGUACACGAAGGCACACAGGCUGUGAGCUCGAUGAGUAGGGCGGGACACGUGAUAUCCUGUCUGAAGAUGGGGGGACCAUCCUCCAAGGCUAAAUACUCCUGACUGACCGAUAGUGAACCAGUACCGUGAGGGAAAGGCGAAAAGAACCCCGGCGAGGGGAGUGAAACAGAACCUGAAACCGUGUACGUACAAGCAGUGGGAGCCUUCGUAAGAGGGUGACUGCGUACCUUUUGUAUAAUGGGUCAGCGACUUAUAUUCUGUAGCAAGGUUAACCGUAUAGGGGAGCCGAAGGGAAACCGAGUCUUAAUUGGGCGUUAAGUUGCAGGGUAUAGACCCGAAACCCGGUGAUCUAGCCAUGGGCAGGUUGAAGGUUGGGUAACACUAACUGGAGGACCGAACCGACUAAUGUUGAAAAAUUAGCGGAUGACCUGUGGCUGGGGGUGAAAGGCCAAUCAAACCGGGAGAUAGCUGGUUCUCCCCGAAAGCUAUUUAGGUAGCGCCUCGUGAAUUCAUCUCCGGGGGUAGAGCACUGUUUCGGCUAGGGGGCCAUCCCGGCUUACCAACCCGAUGCAAACUGCGAAUACCGGAGAAUGUUAUCACGGGAGACACACGGCGGGUGCUAACGUCCGUCGUGAAGAGGGAAACAACCCAGACCGCCAGCUAAGGUCCCAAAGUCAUGGUUAAGUGGGAAACGAUGUGGGAAGGCCCAGACAGCCAGGAUGUUGGCUUAGAAGC